rnacentral:rRNA from 1 species
UAAGACGAACCGUACGAACGUUAUUCGGAAUCACUGGGCUUAAAGGGUGCGUAGGCGGCGCUGAAAGUUGGGUGUGAAAUCCCUCGGCUCAACCGAGGAACUGCAUUCAAAACUACAGUGCUUGAGGGAGACAGAGGUGAGCGGAACUUAGGGUGGAGCGGUGAAAUGCGUUGAUAUCCUAAGGAACACCCGUGGCGAAAGCGGCUCACUGGGUCUCUUCUGACGCUGAGGCACGAAAGCUAGGGGAGCGAACGGGAUUAGAUACCCCGGUAGUCCUAGCCGUAAACGAUGAGCACUGGGUUGGAGGGCCCCCCAUAGCCUUCCAGCCGAAGCGAAAGUGUUAAGUGCUCCGCCUGGGGAGUAUGGUCGCAAGGCUG